rnacentral:rRNA from 1 species
UACGGAGGGAGCUAGCGUUGUUCGGAAUUACUGGGCGUAAAGCGCGCGUAGGCGGCUUUGUAAGUUAGAGGUGAAAGCCCGGGGCUCAACUCCGGAACUGCCUUUAAGACUGCAUCGCUUGAAUCAUGGAGAGGUUAGUGGAAUUCCGAGUGUAGAGGUGAAAUUCGUAGAUAUUCGGAAGAACACCAGUGGCGAAGGCGACUAACUGGACAUGUAUUGACGCUGAGGUGCGAAAGCGUGGGGAGCAAACAGG